rnacentral:lncRNA from 1 species
AACGCCAGUGUUUCAGCUUCUCCUUCAACUGGAAACACAGGAAAGAGAGCCAGUGGUCAAAGAAUAUUUACAAAGUGUGAAGUUGGGUUUAAUUAGUUGAAAUAUCUAUGGAAACCUGAAUACUUAAACAGCUUCUCGAGUCCAUGUCUUUGCAUAUGUUAGCAACGAAGAGGGAUGGUGGUAUCAUUAUCUUGUCUUGCGGUUGUUACACCACACAUCUUACCAUUGAUCUGCAGUCCCAAUGACCAAGAGAUUCCAUCAAUAUAUACAAUUUAUAAAAGCUACACAAACUCUGCAUCAAAUACUAAACUGUAGACGAUUACCAUUGGGUAACUGUAACAGCUUGCACAACGCACACACACAAAAGCAUGGUGCUCUUCUUCCACAUCCAUCAGCUCUCACUCUCAAGCUCCUCCUGACCAUCUCCAAUCUCGCCGGCAAACUCACAAGAUCCUUCCUCAUCACAUGAUUGCACGGAAACAAACAAAUAUAUGCACAUCAUCAUCACAUGAGAUUGCAAACAAGCAAAAUAAAAAAAAAAACAUUGAAAACAAGAGGGUAAAAUUGUAUAUUUGCCAAGGAUUGAUAGGAAUAACAAAGCGAUCUCAUAAGUGUAAAAGUCAAAUAGAACCUAACUUCUCUAACGAUCAUUCAAAUAGACAGGAUGCUAGUUCCUAAUUGUUUCUACAUUAUGAAUAUACACAUAAGCUUCUUCCUUUUCAAUCUAAGAAAAUAUAGAAUAUUGCCAAGAACUGAUAGGAAUAACAAAAUGAUCUCAUAAGUGUUAAGUCAAAUGGAACCUAACCUCUCUAACAAUCAAGUAAAUGACAGGACGCUAGUUUCUAAUUGUUUCCACAUUAUGAAGAUACACAUAAGCUUCUUCCAUUUUCAAUCUAAGCAAAUAUAGAAUAUUGCCAAGAACUGAUAGAAAUAACAAAAUGAUCUCAUAAGUGUUUCCACAUUAUGAAGAUACACAUAAGCUUCUUCCAUUUUCAAUCUAAGCAAAUAUAUAAUAUAUGCCAAGAACUGAUAGAAAUAACAAAGUGUUCUCAUAAGUGUAAAUUCAAAUGGAACCUAACCUCUCUAACAAUCAUUCAAAUAGACAGGAUGUUAGUUUCUAAUUGUUUUCACAUUAUGAAUACAUAAAGCUUCUUCCAUUUUCAAUCAAAGUAAAUAUAGAAUAUUUGCCAAGAACUGAUAGAAAUAACAAAGUGAUCUCAUAAGUGUAAAAGUCAAAUGGAACAUAAGCUCUAACUAUCAAUCAAAUGAUGGGACGCUAGUUUCUAAUUGUUUCCACACUAUGAAUAUACACAUAAGCUUCUUCCUUUCUCAAUCCAAGUAAAUAUAGAAUCUCCCCAAAAAAAAAAAGAUUUGAAAAAAACAGAAAAAGAACGAAAUUAGGUACCUUGAGCAAUGGGGAUUCUCAUCUUUUCUUCCACCAUCUGUUAUCUCUUGAAUCUUCUUGGCAAACUUCUUCCUCUUUCACCUUAACUCUUUGCUGCAGAGAAACAAAACACCAACCAAACAGUCAGGACUCACUCAAUUUCUACAAUAAUCCGUAAAUUUUUCAAUAUUUUUGAUCAGAGAAACUCAUACCUCUCAGUUCUGAAUUUCAAUGAAGUGAUCUUAACCUGCUUCUUCUUUGAUUUUCUGCUUCCUUCCCACUCUCAAAUCACUGAAACACCAUCAGAUCAAACAAGUCAGAAGACUAUAAAACUAACAGAUAUUGAGUCACCAACGAGCUAAUCUAGUAUUGUUGCUGGCUGG